AACGAACGCUGGCGGCGCGCCUAAUACAUGCAAGUCGAGCGAGAAGACGUAGCAAUACGUUUGUAAAGCGGCGAACGGGUGAGGAAUACAUGGGUAACCUACCCUCGAGUGGGGAAGUAACUAGCCGAAGGUUAGCUAAUACCGCGUACGCUCCUCGGACUUCGGUUCAGGGAGGAAAGACGAUACCGUGGGUAGUCGCGCUCUUGGAUGGGCGUCAUGUCCUAUCAGCUUGUUGGUGAGGUAACGGCUCACCAAGGCUUCGACGGGUA
rnacentral:rRNA from 1 species